rnacentral:rRNA from 1 species
CCUACGGGAGGCAGCAGUGAGGAAUAUUGGUCAAUGGGCGCGAGCCUGAACCAGCCAAGUAGCGUGAAGGAUGACUGCCCUACGGGUUGUAAACUUCUUUUAUAAAGGAAUAAAGUGAGGCAUGUGUGCCGCUUUGCAUGUACCUUAUGAAUAAGGAUCGGCUAACUCCGUGCCAGCAGCCGCGGUAAUACGGAGGAUUCGAGCGUUAUCCGGAUUUAUUGGGUUUAAAGGGUGCGUAGGCGGGUCGUUAAGUCAGCGGUGAAAGUUUGUGGCUCAACCAUAAAAUUGCCGUUGAAACUGGCUGCCUUGAGUAGAUUAGAGGUAGGCGGAAUGCGUGGUGUAGCGGUGAAAUGCAUAGAUAUCACGCAGAACUCCGAUUGCGAAGGCAGCUUACUGGACUCUAACUGACGCUGAAGCACGAAAGCGUGGGGAUCAAACAGGAUUAGAUACCCGGGUAGUC